ACCUCGCUCAGCUUCCGGCUGGUCAUAGUUCCGCUUCCUGUCCGACUCUGGUAUCUUUGCUGAGGGUGACAUUGAGCUGCAAGUUGCAUCUGGGGUGCCUUUAGGAUUCAGCACCAUGGCGGAAGAAGACAUUGAGACCAAAAUCAAGAACUACAAGACUGCCCCUUUUGACAGCCGCUUCCCCAACCAGAACCAGACCAGGAACUGCUGGCAGAACUACCUGGACUUCCACCGCUGCCAGAAGGCAAUGACCGCUAAAGGAGGCAAUGUCUCUGUGUGCGAAUGGUACCAGCGUGUGUACCAGUCCCUCUGCCCCACAUCCUGGCUGCCUGCUAUUCCAUCUCCCCUAUUUGGACAAACAGCAUAGUGUUGACAUGAGGUUUUCAAAGCAGGGCCCACCCUUGGAGCUCUGUACAGUGACAGAUCUCCCCAUCGACAGCUCUGCAGUGGGCCUGGGGCUUUCCUGCUGCCCGUUACUCUCCUCCCAGCACGUCAGCUUGUUCAGAACAGUGAUUUCUGUCUUUUGGGAUCACUGCUGAUUCCCCGGCCCCUGGAAUAGAGGUUGGCACACAGCAGGUACCUGUGGAUAUUGGUUGAACAAACAGGUCACAGACUGGGACGAGCAACGGGCUGAAGGCACGUUUCCCGGGAAGAUCUGAACUGGCUGUACCUCCCUGUCCUCUGUCCUCUGUCCUUCUCCCAGGAUGGUGAAGGGGGACCUAGUACCUAGUGAUCCCCACCCCGGGAUCCUAAAUCAUGACUUACCUGCUAAUAAAAACUCAUUGGAAAAGUGA